rnacentral:lncRNA from 1 species
CGCAGAGCCAGGAUGCAGUCCACAGGAAUAGUUACGCGGUCCACAGGCACGGUUCACAGUGAGAAUAAGAUCUUGGGUGCGAUCCAAUGACUAAGAUUCAAUCCGACCUAGAUCCGAUGGUUCAGACUCAUUGCUGACUUUGAAUAGGACUCUUUUGCAUGAUCCGAUGGCCCAGAAGCAAUCCAUCAUGCAAUCCAACGGCUGUUAUCACUCCCGACUAUGUUAAAGAUUCUUUUGCAUGAUUCGACGGCCAGAACUUCAUCAGAACCC